GGGCCCGCACAAGCGGUGGAGUAUGUGGUUUAAUUCGAUGCAACGCGAAGAACCUUACCAGGGUUUGACAUCCUGCGAAUUUCUGGGAAACCGGAAAGUGCCUUCGGGAGCGCAGUGACAGGUGGUGCAUGGCUGUCGUCAGCUCGUGUCGUGAGAUGUUGGGUUAAGUCCCGCAACGAGCGCAACCCACGUCUUUAGUUGCCAGCAUUUAGUUGGGCACUCUAGCGAGACCGCCGGUGAUAAACCGGAGAAGGUGUGGAUGACGUCAAGUCAUCAUGCCCCUUACAUCUGGGCUACACACGUACUACAAUGCUACGGACAAAGGGCAGCAAACUCGCGAGAGCUAGCAAAUCUCUUAAAGCUUGUCUC
rnacentral:rRNA from 1 species